UACGUAGGGUGCAAGCGUUAAUCGGAAUUACUGGGCGUAAAGCGUGCGCAGGCGGUUAUAUAAGACAGAUGUGAAAUCCCCGGGCUCAACCUGGGAACUGCAUUUGUGACUGUAUAGCUAGAGUACGGUAGAGGGGAGUGGAAUUCCGCGUGUAGCAGUGAAAUGCGUAGAUAUGCGGAGGAACACCGAUGGCGAAGGCAGCUCCCUGGACCUGUACUGACGCUCAUGCACGAAAGCGUGGGGAGCAAACAGG
rnacentral:rRNA from 1 species